UAUGAACGGAAAAGUGGAUCUGACUGGGAGUUAAGGUACAACUCCAGGAAGAGACAGAGACCUGGGAUAAGGGAUGCACCCUAGAAUCAAUAAGGGUGACCUUAGCUUUGACUCAAAGCACUGCGGAUAUGGAACCUGGAAAGGCUCCCUCCUGUGGCCAGGCAUUAACUCUGGUGGAGCGAUGGGAGCACCAACACAACCACAAAACUUUCAACACAGAACAUCCUGUGUACAAGAAAUACACUGACUGGGGAUGGAGGACAGACUGAGGGCAUGGCCAAGCAGUAAGUGGACCAACUUGCGAUUCAUCCUGUGGGCAAGCACCAGUUCCUGACACUAUUAAGGAUACUCCAUUAUGGUUGCAGAGAGGAGCAAGCACAAACCCCCAACACUAUAAUGGAUGAGACAGGGCCCUAUCAUGACAGUCCUCAAGUGACUCCACCCAGAAGCUGACUCAGAUACUCACAGUCAAGCAGUGGGUGGAGCCUGGGGACUCUUAUAGAAUAGUAGGAGGUAGGAUUGCAGGUCCUAAGGGGAUAGGAACUCCAUAGGAAGCCCAACAGAGUUAACUAACCGGGACCCUUAGCUCUCUCAGAGACUCGACCACCAACCGAUGAACAUACAUGGGCUAGAAGUAGGCCUCCAUGCACACAUGUAGCAGAUGUGCAGCUUGCUGUCCAUGUGGAUCAUGAACGACUGGAAUAGGAGCUAUCCCAAAAGCUGUUGCUUGUCUGUGGAAUAUGUUCUUCUAGCUGGGCUGCCUUCUCUGGCCUCAGUGGGAGAGGUUGUAUCUAAACCCAGAGACUUGAUAUGCCAGACUAAUCUAAUGGUGUCAAUUUCUUGGUUGUGAUUCUCUUUUCUCGGGUGGCUGGGGCUGUGUUGAGUAGAGGAGACCUACUCCCCCCAGACAUGAGUGGAAAAUUGCAGCUUGGUCUCCAUGUGGUCCCUAACCAUUAGAGUGGGGACUCUCUGACUUGGAUCUCCUCUUCCUACCUGGACUGACUGGGUGGGCCUCAGUGGGCAGGGAUGCCUUUACUUCUGCUGUGACUUGAUGUGGCAGGGUGAGGUGGUGACGAAGGGUCAGCUUCCCUUUGUCUCAGGCCAAGAAGAGGGGCAAUGGGAGGAGAGAUCUGUAAGGGUGGGAGUCAGCCGGCAGGUCCUUUCCUUAUCUCUACAGCUUAGCCUUCUGAGGUCCUGUCUGUCAAUUGUCAUUGCCCUUGGUGCAGUGGUCCUUUUCAUACUGUUAUUUUUGCCUGUCGGGGCCCAUGAGAAUUCUUUUCAUCUUCCUGUGUCCUUCCACUGGAGAUAAAUUGAAUUUUGUCACAGGCUCUUUUUUGUAUCUAUUGAGAUGAUCAUGUAAAUUUUCUUUUCCGUUUAAGUACAUUAAUUAUUCCACUUAAUGGUUGAUGUGGAUGAACUCUCCUGGCAUCUCCUGUCUGAAGACAGCUUGAAUGUGAUGUAUGAUUGUUUCCUCCACAUAAUAAUUUAUAAAACUCAGUAUUUGUGAAUUUCACACCACAGGUUCAUCUUGCAUUUGCUUCCCAGUCCUUCCCUCUUUUUCCUCCACCCUUGGAAGAUACCCUCCAGUAAAACAAACAAAUGAACAAACGAACAAAAACCAAAAAUAACUAACUAAAAACAAAAACCUUCCAAUUUCUGUUGUUUCUGCAUCCAUAGGGAUGUGUACAGACUCUCAGAUUCCUGCCCCAGAUGGAGGUGAGGCCUCUGCCUCCUGCCACCCUGCUGGACGUCAUCUACUGGGGAAGGUGACACCCCAGCAUCCUAUCACAGUUUUUAAGAGUUCACUCUGAUGGUUUCCUAUGGAGGCUCUUGCUAUUUGGAGGGGAUCGCUGUCAUGGGAAAGAUAGGGGUUGUCAUAGAAAUCUUCCAUGUCCCUCUUUCUGAACUGUGUGUGUGUGCAGUCAUUGAUAGCUCUGUGAAAUUAGCUUAUUUGCUCAUUAUGGAGCAAGGGAGCGUGUGGGCUUCCACAUGGUUUCUGGCAUCAGCACAGACCAGGAACAGGACUCGCAGUUACAGAAAGACCAUGAACCCAGGUAAGGCCCUUAGGUGCAGCUGAGAUCAUAGACAUCAGUGUGGCUCCAGCUGCAGCAUAAUCCGUGGACAUCCACUUGGCCUUCAACUGCAACUCAGGACACCCUGAGACAUGGCCCUCUGUAUCAACACAGACCAGAGAUUACCAUGACCUUGGGUGGCAGAGAAAACCACCCAGAACUGCUUCGGCUGUGUGACCUUCAGUGCCUGCGUGUCCCAAGAUUAUCAGCACAGCUUCCCACUGCAGUACAUGUCCUGAACAUCUUCAUGGCCUUCAGUGGUAUCAUAGAACACGAGAUCAACACACCAGACCCGAAUAAGACCACAGACCCACACAUGGCCCUUUAUGACAACACAGGCCAGACAUGACCAUGGAGCUGGGAGACAUCACAGACCACACACAUGGCUGUGCACCACCCUCUCACCGUUGCCCACGGUCAGGAGCAAGGCUGUCUUCAGGAUUCAGCACAGACAGCAGACUUCCAUGUGGUCUUUGGCAGUAGUGCAGGCCAUCCCCACCAGGACACAUGGGGAAGCAUCAAGGCCAUGGACCUAGACAUGGCUCAUAGCCGUACCAGGACUAGAUCCUCACUAAGGUCUGAGGUGGCUGAGCAGGCCACUAACAUCAGUAUGUUCCUAGGGGGCAGCACGGGCCCAAGACAUGAGCCAGACAAUGGCACAGGACAGGGAUAUUUAUAUGUCAUCAGGUAACAACUUAGUUCUCAGACAUCAACCCAGACCUCAGGCACAUCAGGGCCAUUGACCCAAAAUGGACAUCAGUACCAUCCAUCCAUCCAUCCAUCCAGAAAAUGCACCAUUGCUCAUCUCGGGCCUCCAUCAUUGCCAAGAUCUAGGGUGAUCUUUCUCUAGCCCAGGUAGCUUUGUUUGAGGGCUGAGCCUGCAUCUGCUUAAGGUCCAGGAUGCUGCACACCAUCCUGUCAACUCCACUAGGCAAUACAUAAUUCACCAUCAACCUCAGCCCUCUCUGUUUCCAGUGACCGCAGUCACAUCUGUAGUUCCACCUCUCUCCACAGCGCAUGCCCUGCUCACACAGCUCGGCUCCUCCAUUUCUCCCAUCUCACUCCUCAUUUUUGCUGUUUUUGCAGUAGUGCCCAUCUGGGUAGGUCUACUAUGCAUGUGCACAGUAAGGGUAUCCUGUGCCAAGCCUGCCAAGGGCGCCUAGCUGGCUUGCUGGGCCCACAGAGCAUAUGAUCUCUUAAAUAUAUGCUUUUGCUCUGUUUCCAAGUAGUCUAUGGAAGAAAUUUGCAUCUCUACUGCUGAGGCGUAUUGGCUUACCGUACACUUGUUGUUGUUGUUGUUGUUGUUGUCUUUAAAGGGUUUUGUAGUAGAGUAAAACUGGCUACCUGGAAGCCAUUUCUAAGGUCUGCUUUAGUUUUUAGCUUUGAAAUAGUUCAUAAAUUGGUUGUAGAUCUUUGAAUCUCUGUUAGAAUUGUCCUCUGAAUGCAUCUGGGCCAGGGCAUUAUUCCUCAGGAGGAUUUUGUAAAUCGUUUCAAUCUUCUUAUUUGUUUAACAUGUUCAUCUCCUCUUAGUUUAACUUUCCUGGUUCCCAUGAAUCUAAUAAUUCAUCCAAUUCUUUUAGACUUUCUAACUUGAGGAGAUAUAUACAUAUAUAUAUAUAUAUAUAUAUAUAUAUCACACACACACACACACACACACACACACACAUAUAUAUAUAUAUAUAUACAUAUAUAUAUAUAUAUAUAUAUAUAUAUAUAUAUAUCCUUACAAUGUUCUGAAUUUCUUGGAGUGGGUCUAAGGGCUUCCCUGUUCACAUGUGAGUCUGUUCAUUGGGAUUAUAUUUUCCUUUCAUUUGGUGAGUUGGACAAAAAGAAUUGUUGAUCUUAAUUUAUCUUAAUUUGUUUGCAAAAAAUCAAAUUAAAAUAAUAGAACAAUAAAAAAUAGAAAACAAAAAUAACAGCGCUUAGAUUGGUUGGUUCUUGGCAUUGCUUCGUCUCUACCUCCCUAGUUUAGUCCUCACCAUCUACUUGAUGUCUUUUUGUGUUGUUGUUCUUGUCCUUUCAAAUCCUUGAGCUGCCCCACGCACAGUUAUUCGUUCUCAUUCUCACUUUUGCUAAUGCAGGAGUUUAGACCUAACCAUAGCACUCAUGCGACCAUGUUUAAUCUAUCCGAGAUUGCUUGAGUUCUCUUUGCUUUUAUUUAAUUCAAAGAAGCUCUACCUUCUUCUCUUGAUGUAUGUUUGAGUGUUGUUUAAUUUCUAUGAGUUUACAUGUGCAUAAGUGCUUGGAAUUCCUGUCCUGUUCAUUUUAGGAUCCAUUCCAGGGUAGGCACAUGGGAUGCAUGGAGUCCUUUCAAUGUUCCUAACUGGGUUAAGGUUUGUUUCAUAUUCCAGGAUGUGGUCUGUUUUAGGAAGAUCUCCUAGGCUGUUAUAUGUUUGCAAUCUUUGGCAUUUCAGGGGAAUGGACAUAGAUAUCUCUUAGGCUCACUAGAUGUGUAGUGUCCAUUAUUUCUGUUAUUUUUAUGUUUCUUGUGCAGAGGACCAGUCUACUGGAGAAAGUGUGGUAAUGACAUCAUCAGUUGUUGGUGCAUUCGAGUUAAUCUGUGCCUUUUAAAGUCCAAUCUAAUUUUUAUGAAGUUGGGUUGCACAGUUUGGAACAUAUAUGCUAUACGAAUUGUCCUUCCUCAUCUCUUGGCCUUGUUGUUUGUUUGUAUCUUAGUUUAAAGUCUACUUUCUUAGGUACCAGGAUAGUAAUACCUGCUUAGUUCCUGGUCUCACCUGCCUCAAAUAGUCUUUCCACUCCUUCACUAUAUGCUAGUGAAGGUAAGACGAAGUUCUAUAUAUCCGAGAACUGAAUUCUGUUUAUCAGUUCAUUCAGUUAAAGUGUGUCUUUGGAUUAGGGUGCUGAUGUCAUUAAUAUUAUUGACAGAUAUUAUUAUUGUUAUUGUUAACUGUUUAUUGUUAACAGAUAUUGUUAACUGUUGUCAUCUGUUGGGUAUCGCUUUGUGUAUUACUUGUCUGUUUUGUGCUGUAAUAUCGAUGGCUUCGUAUGUCCGUGUUUUUACAGUGUCUUUGCUGUGCUUCCUCCUCUCUCCUGUCCACAGUUGUUCCCAGUGUCCACUGUGAGACCCACUGCUCACCUUGUGUUUUAGCCUGUGUGCAUUGGAACAAGUCGUUCUUCCUUUCCUUUUUAUUUCUUGAUUUGGUUUUUUGGGGGGAGGGGAAUUUUUGUUCUUUUUUUAAUUGGGUAAUUUUUAUUUACAUUUAAAAUGCUAUCCCUUUCCCCCCACCCAACCACCCACCCCCUCUCGCCACCACACCCUGACAUUCGCCUACACUGGGAGGUCAAGCCUUGGCAGGAACAAGGUCUUCUCCUCCAUUUGGUGCCCAACAAGGCCAUCCUCUGCUACAUAUGCAGUUGGAGCCAUGGUUCUGUCCAUGUGUACUCUCUGAGUAGCGGUUUAAUCCCUGGGAGCUCUGGUUUGGGUGGUUGUUCUUAUGGGGCUGCAACUCCCUUCAGCUCCUUCAAUCCUUUCUCUAACUCCUCCAAUGGGGACCCUGUACUGAGUUCAAUGGUUUGCUGUGAGCAUUCUCCUCUGUAUUUGUCAUGCUCUGGCAGAGCCUCUCAGGAGACAGCUAUAUCAGGCUCCUGUCAGCAUGCACUUCUUGGCAUCAGCAAUAUUGUCUAUGUUUGGUGACUGUAUAUGGGAUGGAUCCCCAGGUGGGGAAGUCUCUGGAUGGUCUUUCCUUCAGUGUCUGCUCCACACUUUGUCUCCGUAUCUCCUCCUACGAAUAUCUUUAUGCCCCCUUUAAGAAGGACUGAAGCAUUCCCACUUUGGUUGUCCUUCUUCUUGAGCUUCAUGUGGUCUGUGGAUUGGAUCUUGGGUAAUCCAAGCUUUUUGGUAAUAUCCACUUAUCAGUGAGUGCAUACCAUGUGUGGGUUUUUUUGUUUGUUUGUUUGUUUUGUGUCUGGGUUACCUCACUCAGGGUGAUAUUUUCUAGUUCCAUCCAUUUGCCUAUGAAUUCAUGAAGUCAUUGUUUUUAAUAGCUGAGUAGUACUUGUGUAGAUAGAUGUACCAUAUUUUCUGUAUCCAUUCCUCUGUUGAGGUACAACUGGGUUCUUUCCAGCUUCUGGCUAUUAGAAAUAAGGCUGCUAUGAACAGAGCGGAGCACAGUUUCCUAGCUACUUUCGUCCAGACUGGCAGUAGUCAUCUUUUAGAUAUUAAAGGAUAUCUCUCAGGUUCUUCUGGAUUUUAAGGUUUCCAUUAACAAGUUGGUUGUCAUUCUGAGGGGUUUUCUUUCAUGUGUCACUUGUGACAUUUUUUCUCCCUCAGGUUUCAGUACUCUCUUGUUAUUCUGUGACAGAGUCUUUUACAAGUAAUGAGCAACAGGGUGUUUGUUUCUUGUUCUCUCCCUUUGCUAUAUAAAGUUUUUCAGUUAUCUGGGUGGGUGUGUCUUUUCUCACUUUAAGUAUCUCUUUCUAUGAUCCUGUUAAUGAUCUGAUCAAAGCCUGAGAUCCUUUUGCUUCUGUUAUACCCUCCACUCAAGCCUCUGGGCUUUCCUGGUGCCCCAGAUUUCCAUUAUGUCCCUUGACUGUCUUUAUUUUCCUUUCCUGUGCUUUGCAAGUGUGCUUCACUUUCUCUGUUCUAUAUUCACGUCUGAUAUUGUGCCCUGCCCAUGACCCAUUCAACGAGUAAUGAUUUUCCCUGCGUUUCCUACUCAGUUAUUGAGUUCAGUUUGAUCUUCAGAUGAGGAGAGGCGCUUUCAGGGUCACAUCUUCAUUUCUGCUUAAGUUCUCUUCACUAUUUCUCUCCCUUCACUGUACUCAGGUUUCAAAUCUUAGUUUUUCAUUGCCAUUUCAUUUACCUGUAUAUUUUUUUAGACAUCACUCACACACUUGUUGCCUACUUUCAAUCCAUUGAGCUUUCCUUAUGUGAUCUUUAAACUCCUUGCCGUCUUUGAUAAUGUUUAUGAUUAUUUCCAACCUGUGUCCUUGGGUUGAUCUGGGUCCUAAUUGUCAUCGGAGGACAAUUCUGUAAUAUUACUGCAUUCCGGGUUGGGUCUGCUGUUUUGGCUGUUCAUAUUGUGUGUGCUUCUGUGAUAUGAUCUCAGCCUGUGGACUUCUUUCUUUUUCUGUGUGUCUGGUGUGAGAGUCUGGCCAGCUUCAGGCUGGACCAGUGCAGCAACUGUGUGAGCAGGACUAGUCGUGUGUGACAUUUGGAGAUGGUACAGGUGGGUUCUUUGUGGUAAUCUCACUAAGGAAAUUCAGAAGAUACACUUAGUGUAGCUUGACAGUGUAGACCUAGUGUGGGCUGGCUUGGUUCCCAUGGGACUCACCAGGUAAAGCCUGUGCAGGAGGUGUCUGUCUAGAGCUAGGCAUAGGAGAAUGUGGAUGUCAUGGGGAGGCUCUUAGACAUUCAUGUUCUGUAUGUAAACAAGAGAGUAUGUGAAUUAACAGAUAUAUCCAUUUCCUUGAUUCCUCCAUGCAUAUCUAAGCAGCUCCAGGCAGGAGGAAUGUUUGAAGGAAUUAAGAAAGUUCUACUCCUUUCUCUUUCUUGAUUCAUAAUACCUUUUAAACCAAUGAUCUGAAAAACCCACCAUUCUCUUAAAACUGUUUUAUAAAGUAAUGUCCCUGGGAUGGUGGAAAGGAGUGGGGCACAUCAGACCACAGCCAGAUACUGCAGCCUGGACAGAACGUUAUCCAGCACUGAUCAAGAAGAUUUUAAAUGUUAUUCACUAGAACCGUUUUUUUAAAAGAUUUAAAGGCAGCUGCUGAAAAGAUUUCCUUUUUCUCUUGUGAUAGUUCGUAUAUGCUUGGGCCAGGGAGUGGUACUAUUAGGAGGUGUGGCCUUGUUGGAGUAGAUGUGUCACUGUGGCUGUGAGAUAUAUUACCCUAAUCCUAGCUGCCUGAAAGGGAGUCUUAGAGUAGGAGCCUUCAGAUGAAGACUUAGAAUUCUCAGCUCUUCCUGAACCCUGCCUGCCUGGAUGCUACCAUACUCCUGCCUUGAAUAUGAUGACUUGAACUUCUGAAUCUGUAAGCCAACCCCAAUUAAAUGUUGUUCUUAUAAGAGCUGCCUUGGUCAUGAUGUCUGUCCACAGCAGUAAACCCCUACUAAGAGUUCACCCAUUCAGCCACAGAUAUUAGAAAAUUUAUGAAAGUUUUUAAAUUUUCAAAGAAAAGUAGGUCCCAGCUGCUUAAAGGGUGCUUAAAAACAGAGAACACUUGAGACAUCUUGUGCAUAAACUGAAGGCCACCAUCUCUUCUGAUGAUAAAUCAUGGUUAAACAUACAUACCCAGCAGAAUUUUGGUUUCUUAUCCUCUGUAAGGAGAAGCCAACCACUAGGACUGGCCCAACCCCAAGCUCCUAUAAUUGUUUAACUAACCCGUUCAACUACUUUCGUCCACAUUAAACAAGACCCCGUAGCCCUGGAAACAGAAGGAAAUAUUGCCAUCCUCCGUAUUGCCUGAAUGAACAGACAGACAUACUGGUGCCCUGGGUGUCACCAUGGGACAAACUUCUGCUGCCUGUGAGGACCUGGAACCUCCAAAUCUUAUGGGUCUGAUUCAUCCAGAGAAAUAGGUACAUACUGUCUUUGAUCUAAAAGGUGCAUUCUUUGUACUCCCAUUGGCAGAAGUGAGUCAACCCAUCUCGGCUUUCAAAUGGACAAACACACUGGGAAAUUACAGCAGUCAACAUAUCAGGAGUAGUUUGCCCCAGGGUUUCAAGAUGCUACAUGCAAACCCCCUUCCCUUCCUUUGAGGUUUCCGGGAAGAUAGAUUAUUAAAGGGCCACUGAGGGACUCCUGCAGGAGCUACACACUGUGGGCUACAGAAUAUCAGCUAAGAAAGCCGGCCUAGAAUAUCAGAGGUUACGUAUGUAGGCUACCUGCUGAGGGGAGGCAGAAGGACCCUGUCUGUCUCAGAGUAGGAUUGCUACAAUCCUUCAGAUCCCAACUCCCAAGACUAAAGAUGGGUUCAAAUGUUCUUAGGUACAGAUGGAUAUUUCUGCCUCUAGCAAGCCUAUUAUCGGUCAGCACAAAGGCUCGUACAGACUAGUACUGAGGAUGCAAUCGACCAGUACCAAGGCUACUGUAGAUCAGGAGAAAGGCUACUACAGUUCAGCACAACGUGAGACACUAGCUCCUAAUCUCCACUGAGACUCAACUAAACAAAAGAGGUUUGACCUAAACGUUGGGGACAUGGAAAUGCCCUAUGAUGUAAACAGUUGGACCUGCUAACCACAGGCUGGCCCAUCUGUCUAAGAGCUGUUGUGGCUACUGCUAGUCUAAUGAAAGAAAGCACACAAGUUAACUCCACCUCAGGAUCUUUUAAUCACAGCACUCCUUGACAGAGUGGAGGCUUCCACUAAGGAGGACCAGAAUCCUGGCUAAUGACUGUGUGACCCAGUAUCAUUCCUACUCCUGGCCCACCCUCUAGUCAGGUUUGAGACACCCCCCUCCAUCAGUUGAGCCACCCUCCUGCCUGAUGACACAGAUGCUCAUCUCUGACUGUUGGGAGAUGAAAGAUAAAACCAGGUAUCUGAGAGAUGGGGUUGUUACUUUAACUGAAACGAUUUGGGCCUAAGCCAGGUACCUCUCCCCAGAGAGCAGAACUGAUAGAUCUGACCCAGGCUCUUAGAUGUGGAAAAGGAAAAGUCUACCACAAAAUACAUAGACCAUCCAUCCUUAUGGUUUACCUACUGGGCAUGUCCAUGGUGUGGUCUAUCGGGAAUGAAGACUUCUCACUGCUGGGAUAAAACAUGUUAAAAAAAGUCUUGGCCCUCCUCAAGGCUAUUUGGCUUCAUAGUAAACUACUCUCUUCCGCUGCCAGGCUGCUGACCUGGUUGCCUGACAAACAGCCUACAACCAAUGGGACCUAUUGAUAUUCCGAUGACAAACCACAAAUGCGAUACUGCCUGAGACUCCAUGAUGAGGAAGAAAUGGACAGCUCAACCCUCAGGUUGAAGCUAACUCCCUAUUGCUGAAGGCUCUUAGGAGACAGGACUUGUAUGAUUUGAAUUGAAUGUAAUCUGAAAGCCUUCUUCCUAUGUUAUAACUUCCAUACUACCAGAAAGUACUAUGAAAGUUCCCAACAGAAGGAAGCUGUUAAUAAUCCUACCCAACUAUGACACCUAUGAAGUACAACAAUGACCAGCAUGGCUACAUAUCUGCAAAGAUACAACAUGUGGCACUCACAUGUUUGUAGGAACCAAUAGCUUAUUGGACCUAAGGCCCACUCAAGGGGAGGAAAUCAUGCCUGGUGCAAGAAACCUAUCCAAAUACACAGGACUAGUGAGAUCAUGGAUCUUAGAAGAGAAUCUACUCCUGUCACCAUACUAGACCAAUAUAACUACAUUCUACAACUUACCUUCAUACCCACAGGUAAGUGUAAUUAUGACCUUCAUUAAAGAAACCUCUUUUUACAGGAAACAGAGAACAUUGGGAAAAACACAACUGGAUACAAUGUAGAGAUCAACCUAUUGUGGGUACUCCAGCCUCAAAGGAUACAUUUGUAGCACUGCUCUUGAAUCUGUGGCUCAGGAAAUAUCAGUAUUGCUGAAGAGGGAGUAGAAAAUGUACAAAAGCCAUAAUAUCAGAAGUCUGCUGUGAGGCUGUGUUACCUAAAAAUGGCUUCAUAUAGACACGCUAAUACAGAAAGAGGAAAGUCUCAGGUUGUCCCAAAGUUGGAGAAUUAGUGUCUCACAGGGAUGAGCACCCUAUUUUGUUAUUCAAUAUAAAGUGGUCAACCCCCAAACCAUAGGCAUACAAACAACAAAAAAUAAAUUUGAAGGUUGUAUUUACAUAAUUAUAUGUGUAUUUGUGUGUGUGUGUGUGUGUGUGUGUUCAAGACUAAUAAUCAGAAGAAAAUGAGCUAUCAAUCUGAAAGUAUGGAGGCACAGAAAAGACUGGAGGGAGGGGGUCAUGGGAGGGGCUAGAGGGAAGAAAGAAAAAGGUGGAGAUGAUGUAAUUAUAUUUCAAUUACAAUUUUAUAUUAAUACAACUCACAGACCAUAUGAAGCUCAAGAAGACGGAAGAACAAUGUGUAGACGCUUCAGACCUAUUUAGAAGGGGGAACAAAAUAAUCACUGGAGGUAGAAAGGAGGGACCUGGGAAGGAGAAGGAGGGGAAGGGAAAAAGGGGGACCAGAUCAGGUGUGGGAGGAGACAGGGAGAAGUACAGUGGGUCAGGAAAUUGAACGGAGGUGUGUAGCAGUGGGGGGAUGGGAAACUGGGGGGAGUCACUAGAAAGUCCCAAAUGCCAGGAAAGCAAGAGGCUCCUAGGACCCAACAGGGAUGGCAUUAGCUGAAAUGUCCAACAAAGGGGAAAGCAAGCCUGUAGAAACCAUAUCCAGAGAAAUACAGGGACAAAGAGUGGAGCAGAGACUGAAGGAAGAGCAGACCAGACUGCCAACCUAGAGAUUCAUCCCAUCUGCAAACACCAAACCCAGAUACUAUUGCUGAUACCAAGAAGAGCUUGCUGACAGGAGCCUGGUAUGGCUGUCCUCUGAGAGGUUCUGCCAGAUCCUUACCAAAACAGAUGCAAAUGCUUGCAGCCAACUAUCAUACUGAGCACAGGACCCUAAUAGAGGAGUUAGAGAAAGGACUGAAGGAGCUGAAGGGAUUUGCAACCCCAUAGGAAGAACAACAAUACCAACCAACCAGACCCCCCAGAGUUCCCAGGUCCUAAACCACCAACCAAAGAGUACACAUGGGGGGAUCCAUGGCUCCAGCUGCAUAUGUAGCAGAGGAUGGCAAUGUCCAGCAUCAAUAGGAGAAGAAGCCCUUGAUCCUGUGAAGGCUUGAUGACCCAGGGUAGGAAAACUGUAUAAAGGAAAGAAAUGAAAAAUAUUGCCCAAAUGAAAAAUGUGCAAACAAAUUAGAUAAAUGUGUGAGGGGAAAUAAAAGAUUAAAACAUAAAAAAAUGUAAAAUAUGAUAAAGUGAAAAUACUACUAACAGUAAGUUGGUAAAGAUCAUCCACGGACUGUUCCAAGGUCCCAGGAAAAGAUGUAGCAGAGGACUGCCUUGUCUGGCCUCAGUGAGAGAGAAUGCACCUAAUCCUGUAAAGACUUGAUGCCCCAGGGAAGAGAAUGGGGGAGGAUGAGGUUUGGAGUGGCAGGGUGAGUGAGGGAACACCUUUUCAGAGUCAAAGGAAGGGAGAAGGAGGGAAGAACUCUUAGAGUGGGGAUUGGGAAGAGGGCAACAUUUGAAAUGUAAAUAAAUAAAACAAUUUUUUUAAAAAGUAAGGUGACAGAGUACUCAAUACACUAGUCUUGAAAAUACUAUUAAAUGUGUAGUUAAAAAAAAAUAAGGGGAGAGCAAAGGACAAAAGGGCCUACUGCCAGUUCUGUGCAUGGCAUCAGUUGAACAUGUGUACUCUUGUCUUUCCUGUGCUUUAUGUUGACAUUGAACCUGGACAUGAAGAGUAUCCAAUUGCUACUGCAACUGUGUUCACUUUAGUAGCAUCCCUUUCUUGCAAAUCAAAUCACUUUUGCCUGUGUUAUCUGUGAGCCUGGCUCCUGCUUCCACCUUCCCAAAGGUCUCCAAAUCCUAACUCCCUGGAUGCUUGGUGUUCUAGCUGGGGCUGUUUCCUAAAUGCAUUGAGAGUUUGGGAAGCAACUAUAACACCGAUGUUUGCACGGGGUAACCGCCAUUGUAUUUGUCACAGUCCCAAAGAUCUUACCACUCUGCUGGAGGGAUUUAGUUGUGGGUAUAAAACUCCAGGAUUAUUCUCAGUGGAGGGUUUCUUCCUAUCCGUAGAGGGCAGGGCUGCCUUUUUCUGUGUACUUUAUUACCUGAGCCAAACCUCUUAGGGCCUGCACUUUUCAGCUUGUCAACAUCUUGUCUAAUCGUUUUCCACAAUUGGCUCCCAGGCUUGACUCUUACAGCCCUAGCAGGUUAUUUUGACUGUGGUUAUUUGACUGUAGCUGCCAUCUGUUCUCGGGCCCAAAACAAUAGGUUGUUUCUCAACAUGGCAUCCAGCUUCUGACCAAUAACUAAAUGGAAUUCAUCUGAAUUAUUUUGUCCAGUGGAGCAAACAGUCUCUUACUAAAACCUGUAACUGGAUAUGAAGCUUUGAGUGCUGUUGGUGGGCUCUGAAGGAAGACUGCCAGUCCCUUCUCACCAGACCUGCUUGCUUGCCCAUGGUGGAGGCUUCUGCUCGCCCCUCUGCCUCUAGGGAGCUGUGCAGCUGGAGCUGAGCUCAGCUGUCCAGAUCUCUUUACAGAGCAUCACUCAACUUUUCUUUCUCUGUGGAGAGAAUCUCUUGUGUGUUGUAUGGAUGUUGCCUGUCAAUUCAAAAGCCUAUGGCCGUAGCUUGGGAGGAAAUGGGAGAUAGGACAUCCAGGAGGAUAAAGAAUUCUGGGAUAGAGCCAUGCAGGAGAUUCUCUGGGAAGCUGAGCAGAAGGACACCUGAUACCUGAACAACAUGUAGCUAACCAGGCACGUAUAAAUGAGUAAGCAGGCAAGAAUAAAUGAGAUACCUUGUUAUAUCUAGUCAGAGAAGAACCUAGCUAUAAGGCCAAAGUAUUUGUAAAUAUAUUUUGAGUCUGAGUCUUAUUUCUGGAAGCAUGGGGCUGGGAGGCAGAAGCAGACUUAACUUCAACCCUCUUCACUUUUCUUUUCUUUGAAACUAUACCUGUUUCUCCUACAAUAUACCCUGACCACAGUUUUCCUUCCUUUCACUCCUCUCAGCUCCUACCCCAACAUACCUAUUCUCUCCCCCAGAUCCACUUCCCUUCUAUUGCCUUUCAGAAAGAACAGGCCUCCAGCAGAGGGCAGCCAAACAGGACAGAAAAAGAUAGAAUAAGACAGGGACAAUGGCCUCAUAUCUAGGCUGAGCAAGGCAACGCAACAGGAGAAAGAGUCCACAAAACAAGCAACACACUUGGCAAUGCACCCAAUACCACUGUUAGGAGUCCCACAAAAGCCCCAACUAACAGCCAUGAUAUAUACACAGAGGACCUGGUAUAGACCCAUGCAGGCCCCAUGCUUGCCAUUUCAAUCUCUGUGACCCCAUAUGAGCCCUGCUUAGUUGAUUCAUUGGGCCGUGUUUUCCUGGUGUCCUCCAUCUUCUCUGACUCCUACAGUCUUUCCUCUUUUGCAAAGUGGCCUGAGCUCACAGAGGAGUGACCCGACAGAGAACUCCAAUUUAGACUCUCCCCACAUAACGUCUACCUCCUGGUCUUUACAUCCACUACCAUUUGCUGCCAGAGAAACCUCUCUGAUGACUUCUGGACAAAGCAGUUAUCUACGAGUAUAGAAGAGUAUCAUUUGGAAAAAUUCAAUUGACCCUUUUUGUAGUGGUGUUUGGUUCUACCCUAGGUUUCUGGGCUAUCCAGUCUUCAGUUCCUGGCUAUGUAGGCAGUAUAGGGCAUGGGCUUCCUCACAUGACACAGGGCCUCAAAUGAAACCAAACAUUGGUUGUCAACUCCCACAAGUUCUUUGCCAACAUUGUUCCAGCACAUCUUGCAGAAGGACAGAUUGUAGGUCAAGGAUUUUUGUGGCUGGGUUAGUGUCCAGAUUUCUCUUUUCACAGCCUACAAAGUACCUUCUAGUGCCAAAGAGAUUAGAAUUUAAGGGUGAAGUCUCCAUGCAGGUACCAGCUUGACCUCUGUAUGUUCAAUGAGCUGCCGGUAUGUUGUCUUUGGCAAUGGGCCCCCACUGUCAGUUUUCACAAAAAGACCCCUACCCUAACAUUAGCCUGGGUUGUUUAGAGAUCUCCACUGGUUAGCUGUGCUCAACAACUCAACCAAAUGCAACUCAGUCCCACCACUGGAAGCAUUGCCUGGCAUCUCUUGGAUAUAUGCCCAGGAAUGCUAUAGGUGGGUGUUGAAGUUGAUGAUUCCCAAUUUUCUGAGAAACUGCCAUAUUGAUUUCCAAAGUCGUUGCACAAGUUUGCACUCCCACCAAUGGAGGAGUAUUCCAUUACUAUACAUUCUCGAGCAUGAGCUGUCACUUGAGUUCUUCAUCUUAGCCAUUCUAACAGGUGCAAGCUGGAAUCUCAACAUAGUUUAGAUUUGCAUUUCCCCCAUGGCUAAGGAUGAUGAAAUUUUUCUGUAAGUGUUUCUCAGCCAUUUGAGGCUCCUCUGUUGAGACCUGUACCCCAUUUUUAUUGGAUUAUUUUGUUGAUAUCUAAUUCUCUGAGUUCUGCGUAUAUUUUGAAUGCUAAUUCUCUAUAGAAUGUGGAGUUGGUGAAAAUCUUUUCCCAUUCUGUAGGCUACCAUUUUCUCUGAUUGACAGUCUCCUUUACCUCACAGGAUAAUCUUAGUUUCUUGAGGUCUCAUUUAUUAAUUGUUGAUCUUAGUUCCUGUGCUACUGAUGUUCUGUUUAGAAAGUUGUCUUCUGUACCAGUGUGUUUAAGGGUAUUUGUCACUGUCUAUCAAAUUCAGUGUAUCUGGUAUUGUGUUGAGAUCUUUGAUCCAUUUUAACAUGAGUUUUGUGCAGGAUAAUAAAUAUGGAUCUACUUGCAUUCUUUGUCUUAUCUUUUAUCAUUCUUAUCUUUUCACAUUCAACUUGACCAGCAUCAUUUGUUAAAGAUGCUUUCUUUUGUCCAGUGUGCACGUCCAGUUUUCUUGUUUUCCUUGACUUCUUUAUAAAACAAAACAAAACAGAAACAGGUGACCGUGAGUAUGUGAAUUUAUGCCUGAGCCUUCAAUUCCAUUGAUCAAAAUGACUUUUUGCCAGUAACAUGCUAUUUUUAUUACUAUAAUACUGUAGACAACUUGAACUUGGUAAUGGUAAGACCCUCAGAAGUUCUCUUACUAUUCAGAAUUGAUUUACCUGUCUAUCCUCAGGUUUGUUGUUGUCGUUGUUGUUGUUGUUGUUGUUGUUGUUGUUGUUGUUGUUGUUGUUGUUUUUCCAUAUUAAGUUGAGUGUGUCCUUUCAAGAUCUGUCAAGAAUUGUGUUGGUAUUUUGAUAGGGAUUCUGCUGAAUCUAUAGAUUGCUUUUGGUAGGAUGGCCAUUUUUUUACUAUGUCAAUUUUACUGAUCCAUGAGAAUAAGGGAUAUUUCCACCUUCUGACACCUUCUUCAAUUUCUUUCUUCAAAGACUUGAGACUUGAAGUUUUAUCAUACAGUUCUUUGACUUGCUUUAUUAGAGUUACUUCCAAGAUAUUGCAUAUUAUUUGAGGCUACUGUGAAUGGUGUUGUUUUCCUGAUUUCUUUCUCAAUACUUAGGGAGACUGCAGCAGGAAAAUCACUGUGAGUUCAAGAUCAGCCAGGGUUACAAAAUAAGACAAUGUCUCUAAAACAAAAUUGCAUUGAUAGUGGUGAAAUAAAAAAGGUGGCUGGGGGGAGCUGAACUCCCAGAAGUGCAGACAAUUCUGAGAUCUCAGGGGAGACCAACACAUCUGCCCACUUCUCCUCACAUUCCUGGCCCAAGAGGAACCUGCAUAGUGGCCUCUGGAUACAGGAAUAUAGGAGCAGUCAGUGGCAAGUACCUGCUGGUUUCUGCUUGCAUCCAGAACUGAACUGAAAUGGUCCCACAGCUCCCUGCAACCAAAUCCUGUACAGAAGAGAGAUAGACCCUCAGAAGUAUGGAAAAUCCUGAGAACUCAGAGGAGACAACUACUUUGUGCUGACAUUCCUGAUCCAAGAGGAAACCACCUAGAGCAAUCUGUCCACAGGCAGGGACCUAAGAGCAGUCAGGCACAGGACCCUUCAGGUUUCUGCCUGUGCCAAGAACUGAAAGCCAGUUGCCAAGAGAGUCUACACACAUGAGAGCAGAGGUAAGACCAACUUUUCUGCUCCAAGCAACCCACCUGGAGGUUCAGGUCACACAAAGUCAGGAGUAGCUCUCUGUUCCCAGAUCUGGCUGAAAGAAAAUAGGUCUAGGGGGGUGCUGACACACAGGCCUAUAAGAGGGUCAAGCCACUGUCAGAGACAGCUAGACAUGCUAACACCAAAAACAACCUGAUGAUAAGAGGCAAGCGCAGGAAGCUAAGCAACAGAAACCAAGACUACUUGGCAUCAUCAGAGCCCAGGUCUCCCAUCAAAGGAAAUACUGGAUAUCCAAACACACCAGAAAAGCAACAUUUAGAUUUAAAAUUGCAUGUUAUGAUGAUGAUAGAAGACUUUGAGAAAGACAUAAAUAACUCCCUUAAAGACAACACAAGUAAACAAGUGGAAGCCCUUAAAGAGAAAACACAAAAAUCCCUUAAAGAAUUACAGGAAAAGAGAAACACACAGGUGAAGGAAUUGAAAAAAAAACCAUCCAGAAUUUAAAAAUGGAAAUAGAAACAAUAAAGAAAGCACAAAAGGAGACAACCCUAGAGAUAGAAAACCUAGGAAAGUGGUCAGGAGUCAAAGAUUCAAGAAUCACCAACAAAACAUAAGAGAUAGAAGAGAGAAUCUCAGGGGCAGAUUAUACCAUAGAAAACAUUGACACAAUGGUCAAAGAUAAUGUAAAACACAAAAAACUCCUAGCCCAAAACAUCCAGGAAAUCCAGGACACAAUGAAAAGAUCAAACAUAAGGAAAAUAAGUACAGAAGAGAGUUAAGACUCCCAACUUAAAGGGCUAGUAAAUAUCUUCCAAAAAAUUAUAGAAGAAAACUUCCCUAACUUAAGUAAAGAGAUGUCCAUAAACAUACAUGAAGCCUACAGAGCUCCAAGUAGAUUGGACCAGAAAAAAAAUCCCUUCUGUCACAUAAUAGUCUAAACACCAAACACACAAAACAAAGAAAGAAUAUUAAAAGCAGUAAGGGAAAAAGGUCAAGUAACAUAUAAAGGCAGACCUAUCAGAAUUACACCAGACUUCUCACCAGAGACUAGGAAAGCCAGAAGAUCCUGGACAGAUGUCAUACAGAACCUAAGAGAACACAAAUGCCAGCCCAGGUUACUGUAUCCUGCAAAACUCUCAAUUAACAUAGAUGGAGAAACCAAGAUAUUCCAUGACAAAACCAAAUUUACACAAUAUCUUUCUACAAAUCCAGCCUUGCAAAGGAUAAUAGAUGGAAAAACUCCAACAUAAGGAGGGAAACUACACCCUAGAAAAAGCAAAAAAGUAAUCUCCUUGCAACAAAAGCAAAAGAAGAGACACACACAAACAUAAUUCCACCUCUAACAAUAAAAAUAACAGGAAACAGCAAUCACAAUUACUUAAUAUCUCUCAACAUCAAUGGACUCAAUUCCCCAAUAAAAAGACAUAGAAUAAACAUACUGGAUAUGUAAAGGACCCAGCAUUUUGCCGAAUACAGGAAACAUACCUCAGAGAAAAAGACAGACAUUACCUAGAGUAAAAGGCUGGAAAACAACUUUCCAAGCAAUGGUCUGAAGAAACAAGCUGGAGUAGGCAUUCUUAUAUCGAAUAAAAUUGACUUUCAACCAAAACUUACCAAAAAAGAUAAGGAAGGACACUUCAUAUUCAUCAAAGGAAAAAUCCACCAAGAUGAACUCUCAAUCUUACAUAUCUAUACUCCAAAUGCAAGGGAACCUACAUUCAUAAAAGAAACCUUACUAAAGCUCAAAGCACACAUUGCACCUCACACAAUAAUAGUAAGAGAUUUCAACACCCCACUCUCAUCAGUGGACAGAUCAUGGAAACAGAAAUUAAACAGAGACAAAGAAACUAACAGAAGUUAUGAACCAAAUGGAUUUAACAGAUAUUUAUAGGCAUUUUACCCUAAAACAAUAGAAUAUAUGUUCUUCUCAGCAUCUCAUGGUACCUUCUCCUAAAUUGAGCAAAUAAUCGGUCACAAAACAGGCCUCAAAAGAUACAAGAAGAUGGAAAUAAUCUCAUGCAUCCUAUCAGAUCACAUGGGCUAUGGCUGGUCUUCAAAAACAUCAAAAACAACAGAAAUCCCACAUAUACAUGGAAGUUGAACAAUGCUAUAUUCAAUCAUACCUUGGACAAGGAAGAAAUAAAUAAAGAAAUUGAAGACUUUUUAGAACUUAAUGAAAAUGAAGGUACAACAUACCCAAAUUUAUGGGACACAAUGAAAGCUGCGCGAAAAGGAAAACUCAUAACUCUGAGUGCCGCCAAAAAGAAACAGGAGAGAGCAUACACUAGCAAUUUGACAGGUCAUCUAAAAGUUCUAGAAGAAAAAGGAGCAAAUACACCCAAGAGGGGUAGAAGGCAGGAAAUAAUCAAACUUAGGGCUGAAGUCAACUAAGUAGAAAAAAAAAAAGAACUAUACAAAUAGUCAACAAAACCAGGAACUGGUUCUUUGAGAAAAUCAACAUGAUAGAUAAACCCUUAGCCAGACUAACCAGAGGAAACAGAGAGUUUAUCCACAUUAACAAAAUCAGAAAUGAAAAGGGAGACAUAACAACAGAAUCCGAGGAAAUUAACAAAUCAUCAGAUCCUACUACAGACGAUUAUAUUCAACAAAACUGGAAAAUCUGGAGGAAAUGGACAAUUUUCUAGAUCAAUAACAGGCACCAAACUUAAAUCAGGAACAAAGAAAUCAUCUAAACAACCCCAUAACUCCUAAAGAAAUAGAAGCAGUUAUUAAAAGUCUCCCAACCAAAAACAAACAAACAAACAAACAAAAAAAAAACCUGGGACUAGAUGGCUUUAGUGCAGAAUUCUAUCAGACUUUCAUAGAAGACCUCAUACCAAUACUGUCCAAAAUAUUCCACAAAAUAGAAACAGGUGGACCGCUACCCAAUUCCUUCUAUGAAACCACAAUUACACUUAUACCUAAACCACACAAAGACCCAACAACAAAAGAGAACUUCAGACAUAAUUCCCUCAUGAAUAUUGAUGCAAAAAUACUCAAUAAAAUUCUCACAAACGGAAUCCAAGAACACAUCAAAAUGAUCAUCCAUCAUGAUCAAGUAGGCUUCAUCUCAGAGAUGCAAGGAUGGUUCAAUAUAUGGAAAUCUAUCAACGUAAUCCACUAUAUAAACAACCUCAAGGGGAAAAAACACGUGAUCAUCUCAUUAGAUGCUAAGAAAGCAUUUGAAAAAAUUCAAUGACCCUUCAUGAUAAAAGUCCUGGAAAGACCAGGAAUUCAAGGCCCAUACCUAAACAUAGCAAAAGUAAUAUAUAGAAAACCAGUAGCUAACAUCAAACUAAGUAGAGAGAAACUUGAAACAAUCCCACUAAAAUCAGGGACUAGACAAGGCUGCCCACUUUCUCCCAACUUAUUCAAUAUAAUACCUGAAGUCCUAGCCAGAGCAGUCAGUCAAUGAAAGGAGGUCAAAGUGAUAGAGAUUGGAAAGGAAGAAGUCAAAAUAUCACUAUUUCCAGAUGAUAUGAUAGUAUACUUAAGUGACCCCAAAAGUUCCACCAGAGAAGUACUUAGCCUGAUAAACAACUUCAUCCAAGUGGCUGGGUAUAAAAUUAACUCAAACAAAUAAGUAGCCUUCCUCUACUCAAAGGAUAAACAAGCUGAGAAAGAAAUUAGGGAAAUGACACCCUUCACAAUAGUCACAAAUAACAUAAAAUACCUCAGUGUGACUCUAACCAAGCAGUGAAUAAUCUGUAUGACAAGAACUUCAAGUCUAUGAAGAAAGAAAUCGAGGAAGAUCUCAGAAGAUGGAAAGAUCUCCCAUGCUCAUGGAUUGACAGGAUUAAUAUAGUAAAAAUGGACAUUUUGCAAAAAGCAAUCUACAGAUUCAGUGCAAUCCCCCUCAAAAUUCCUACUCAAGUCUUUAUAGAGAUAGAAAAAGCAAUUUGAAAAUUCAUGUAGAAUAUCAAAAAACUCAGGAUAUCAAAAACUAUACUUAACAAUAAAAGAACUUAUGGGGGAAUCACCAUCCCUGACCUCAAGCAGUAUUACAGAGCAAUAGUCAGAAAAACUGUAUGGUAUUUGUACAGAGACAGACAGGUAGAUCAGCAGAAUAGAAUUGAAGAUCCAGAAAUGAACUGACACACCUAUGGUCACUUGAUUUUUGACAAAGGAGCCAAAACCAUCCAAUGGAAAAAAGAUGGCAUUUUCAACAAAUGGUGCUGAUUCAACUGGAGGUCAACAUUUAGAAGAAUGCAGAUCGAUCCAUGCUUAUCACCCUGUACAAAGCUUAAGUCCAAGUGGAUCAAGGACCUCCACAUCAAACCAGAUACACUCAAACUAAUAGAAGGAAAAGUGGGGAAGCAUCUCGAACACAUGAGCAUUGGAGAAAAUUUCCUGAACAAAACACCAUGGCUUAUGCUCUAAGACCAAGAAUCGACAAAUGGGAUCUCAUAAAACUGCAAAGCUUCUGUAAGGCAAAGUACACUGUCAUCAGGACAAAAUGGCAACUAACAGAUUGGGAAAAGAUCUUUACCAGUCCUACAUCUGACAGAGGGCUAAUAUCAAAAAUAUAAAAAGAUGUUAAGAAGUUAGACUGCAGGGAGACAAAUAACCCUAUUUAAAAAUGGGGUUCAGAGCUAAACAAAACAUUCUCAGCUGAGAAAUAUUGAAUGGUUGAGAAGUACUUAAAGAAAUGUUCAACAUCCUUAGUCAUCAGGGAAAUGCAAAUCAAAACAACCCUGAGAUUUCACCUCACACCAGUGAGAAUGGCUAAGAUCAAAAACUCAGGUGACAGCACAUGCUGGCAAGGAUGUGGAGAAAGAGGAACAUUCUUCCAUUUUUGGUGGGAUUGCAGACUGGUACAACCAUUCUGGAAAUCAGUCUGGAGGUUCCUCAGAAAAUUGGACAUUGAACUACCUGAGGACCCAGCUCUACCUCUCCUGGGCAUAUACCCAUAAGAUGCUCCAACAUACAACAAAGACACGUGCUCCAUUAUGUUCAUAGCAGCCUUAUGUAUAAUAGCCAGAUGCUGAAAAUAACCCAGAUGCCCUUCAACAGAGGAAAGGAUACAGAAAAUGUGGUACAUUUACAAAAUGGAGUAUGCUGACAGGAACCGGAUAUAGAUCUUUCCUGAGAGACACAGCUAGAACAUGUCAAAUACAGAGGCGAAUGCUAGCAGCCAAGCACUGAACUGAGAACAAGACCCCCCAUUGGAGGAAUCAGAGAAAGGAUUGAAGGAGCUGAAGGUGCUUGCAACCCCAUAAGAACAAUAAUGCCAACCAACCAGAGCUUCCAGGUACUAAACCACUACCCAAAGGCUACACGUAGACAGACCCAUGGCUCCAGAUGCAUAUGUAGCAGAGGAUGGCCUUGUUGGACACCAGUGGAAGGAGAAACCCUGGGUCCUGCCAAGGCUGGACCCCCAAAUGUACGGGAAUGUUGGGUGCUAGGGGGCUAAGGGUGGGUGUUUGGGGAGGAUAACACCCUUUUAGAAGAAGGGAAGGGUGAUAGGAUAGGGGGCUUAUGUCCCAGUAACCAGGAAAGGCAGUAACAUUUGAAAUGUAAAAAAAUAUCCAAAAAAAGGUGUGCAGAAUUCUAGUUUUCAAAUUGAUCACAUCACCUGCCUGCCUUCAUUUCUAGUGUCUUAGAUUAGGCAGCGAAGAUACAUUGUUCUGCUUAUGCAUUGUUUGCUCACGUUUCCAUUCCUUCACUUUCCUGAAGGAUAGUAUCUUUAUUGGUUAAACAUCAAUCUCCAGAAUGAAAUGAAAUAUUCAGGCUAAAUAAAGUUUUGUUUUAAUAGGGUAGUAAUAUAUUUAGUUUUAUUUCAACAAAAUCACACCACUUCUCAAGCUGAUGCAAAGUUUUGGACAGUUUUUUUUUUUUACAGAUUCACUUUAUUUUUAAGAUUCAUUUAUUUUAUAUAUGUGAAUACACUGUAGCUGUUCUCACACACACCAGAAGAGAGCAUCAUAUUUCAUUACAGAUGGUUGUGAGCCACCAUGUGGUUGCUGGGAUUUGAACUCAGGACCUCCAGGAAGAGCAGUCAGUGUUCUUAAACUCUGAGCCAUCUCUCCAGCCCUCAGAUCCACUUUAAAAGAUUUUUUGUUUGUUUGUUUUGUGUCAGUACCAUAGUCCUCUUUUUUACAGGAAUAGCCCCAAAUUCUCACUACAAAAUAAGAAUUCCAGUCUCGUAAAUGCAUACAAUUACAAUAAACUAGACUCUUAAAAUGACAGAAAGAAAAUUUUCAGAAGCUUAGUGGAAAGAAUGUAGACUUUAAAAAAAAUCCACUGUCGUGAACAUAAACUGAAAAUUUUCAGCCAAAGUAGAAGCUGAGAUCAAAAGAUGAUAUACAAAAAUCAUCACUCAUUUGCUGUACUGAACCAGAAGCACAAAUAUAAAUCUUGUCUAAAAUGUACAAAUUCUCAAACAACAAUGAACAUCUUUCUUAGUUGUUCAUUCUAAGGAAUAUAGACACUUAUGAGCCAAACAAUAGCUAAUAUAGAACCAAUCUAACUUAGUAAUGUGAAGGACAGUUUGUGGGGGAAGAAACCUUUAUUGUAACAGUCCUUUAGAAGAUACAUUAGAAGAAUGGCAGGGUAUCAGGUUAAUGUCUCUCAGCCCUUUUAAAGUCCAUGCCCUAAAAUGUAAAGCUUAGUUAUCCUUCUGUAGGCUGAGAGCUUGCUAGCAUGGCAGUAAAUUAUUAGGAAGGAGAAGAGAAUUGGGUGAAAUGUGGUUAUUCAUCAUAGAUGCUGUCCUAGUUGCCUGGGAUGUGAACAGUGUCAGGGAUUUCUGGGAAAUGUUCAUGCAUAAAAAUAUUGCCUUAGAUGGUUUAAAAGUGUCCUCAUACAAUGGUACAUUGUUACCCCUCAGUGAAGCCUUUAAAAAGAAACAGCUAGGUUGAAAAUAGUUUAAAAGAAGUAAAUACAGAAUCAGCUUUUAAAGCUAUUAAGUCAGUGAUUCUCUCAGUUAUGAAAUCUUGAGAGGUCCCUUUCUUUUCUCAAAGUUCAGGUGAUGGCAAUAUUUCUUCAUCUCUAGCCACUUUUUUUUUCAACAUCUCUAUCUUGUACAUCAUUAUGUGCUCCAUCAAUUUUGGGUAAAUCUACUUGGUCGUCACAACUCAUAUGGUCCAUUCCCUCAGACAAACUCCACAAAAAAGGCGUGUCUGCACCUGAAUCAUCUUCCCAGGCUUCGCAGUCAUUAAAAUCCACGCAAAAACAAUGAGGCUUUGCACAUUCCUUUGAGAACCUUAGUCAUGAUUGGCCAGAUUCUCCAUUUUUUUAGCAGCAUAAAAUGAAUCUAGGUAUUCUUUUCCACUUAUGAUCAUUUGGCUCAAUACAGUUUUGAAUAAAAGAUUUCUUUCAUUUAAUUGUUUACUCCUCUAUGACAAAUUAAAUUAGGUUUGGAUUUAUUUUCAGACUUUGUAUUAACGUCAUCAUUGUCCUCAAAACAAAAUUUGAUGUCAGCACUUUGCACAAAUAGGUUGCAUGGUGAACAUGGCAUAGCAUGAGUAAACAGGCGGGUGGAUCUCACUGGCCCCAGCAACCUUGAUUGAGACUCCAGCCUUUUCUGCCACUUCUGCAUCCUUUCCAGGAAGGCACAGCAAGUGAGAUUAGCCUUGAUUCCAAGAAUGCAGUACAGGACAGAAAGUCCUUAGUUUCAGAGGAGAGGAAACUGCAGGGGAAAGAGGAUAUAAGAACAGAGAAAACAAUGUGCAUCCCUAAGAAGGGUGGAGUACAGAUGCUUAUUUAAAAAAACACAGGUAUUUUAGUGGGCAGUUCCUGUAGUGCAUGGGUUUGUUCUUUAUUUAUUAAAAUAUCCACCCCUCUCUUGUUUACUUGUUAAAAGGAAAAUUAUUUUCUUGCCAAAUAUGGUUUCUUUAUGUUAUUCAAUAUCUUCUUUUUUCUCAAGAAUAAUAAAGAAUCAUGAUGAUAAAUAUAAUUUCUUAUUAUGUCCUAAUGACAUCUCUGUCAUAAUGCCUAUUUUAUAAGUAAAAUGUAGGUCAGAAAGACAUUAAUAUAAGAUUAAGAAAUGGAUAAGCACACAUCUCAGCCUGUUUCUUCUUCAUUACAUGUUUCAAGUUAUCAUAUGGCUAAUGAAGAGAAAAAAAUUGUCACUGCUAAAGCCCUAAUAGGGACGUAGAGGUAACAUAAGUGAAAAAAAUGUCACAUGUCUGCCCCUAAUGUGUAAAUUGGUUUGUUGUACAUCAUGAACAGCUUUAUCUGGCUGAAAAGAUAAAUAAUAACUUGGAAUUUCACUGAGUAGAGAAGUUGGUAGGUGUUCAUUAUAACUAUCUAGAACAGUGUUUCUCAACUUUCCUAAUGCUGCAACCCAUUAAUACAGUUCCUUAUGCUCUGGUGAACCACCCCACCAUAAAAAAUACUUCAUUGCUACUUGAUACUGUAAAUUUGCUACUGUUAUAAAUCAUAUGAAUUAUGGAUUGUGAAUCAUAAUGUGUGAUAUGCAAGGUGAUCUUAGGUGACCCCUAUGGGAGGUUUGUUUGACCCCAAAGGGGUCGAUUAUUACGUUGCAAAGAUGUCAUUCAUUUCAUGGAAUUUGAGCAUUGGUUCAUAGUACUUUCAGUUGCAAAGCUGACGAGGUAUAAAUGAAACAGGGCUGCAGAUGUGAUUUAGUAGCAGAGUACUUGCCAAGUGUGUCACCAGCAAUGCAUAAGCACACACACACUGUACUGGCUGGUUUUGUGUGUCAACUUGACACGAGCUGGAGUUAUCCCAGAAAAGGAGCCUCAGUUGUGGAAAUGCCUUCAUGAGACCCAGUUGUAAGGCAUUUUCUCAACUAGUGGUCAAGGUGGGAGGACCCAGCCCAUUGUUGGUGGUGCCAUCCCUGGGCUGGUUGGUCCUGGGUUCUAUAAGAAAGCCAAGCUGAGCAAGCCUGGGAAAGCAAGCUGGUAAGAAAUAUCCCUCCAUGGCCUCUGCAUUAGCUCCUACCUCCUGACCUACUUGAGUUAAAGUCCUGAUUUCCUUUGGUGAUGAAACAGCAAUGUGGAAGUGUAAUCUGAAUAAACCCUUUCCUCCCCAACUUGCUUCUUGGUCAUGAUGUUUAUGCAGGAAUAGAAACCCUGACUAACAUAAGGGAAAUGCAAAUCAAAGCAACCCUGAGAUUUCACCUUACACCAGUGAGAAUGGCUAAGAUCAAAAACUCAGGUGACAGCAGAUGCUGGCGAGGAUGUGGAGAAAGAGGAACACUCCUCCAUUGUUGGUGGGAUUGCAGACUGGUACAACCAUUCUGGAAAUCAGUCUGGAGGUUCCUCAGAAAAUUGGACAUUGAACUACGUGAGGAUCCAGCUCUACCUCUCUUGGGCAUAUACCCAAAAGAUGCCCCAACAUAUAAAAAAGACACAUGCUCCAUUAUGUUCAUAGCAGCCUUAUUUAUAAUAGCCAGAAGCUGGAAAGAACCCAGAUGCCCUUCAACAGAGGAAUGGACACAGAAAAUGUGGUACAUCUACACAAUGGAGUGCUACUCAGCUAUCAAAAAUGACUUUAUGAAAUUCGUAGGCAAAUGGAUGGAACUGGAAAAUAUCAUCCUGAGUGAGGUAACCCAAUCACAGAAAAACACACACGGUAUGCACUCAUUGAUAAGUGGCUAUUAGCCCAAAUGCUCGAAUUACCCUAGAUGAACAGAACACGUGAAACUCAAGAAGGAUGAUCAAAAUGUGAAUGCUUCAUUCCUUCUCUAAAAGGGGAACAAGAAUGCCCUUGGCAGGGAAGAGAGAGGCAAAGAUUAAAACAGAGACUGAAGGAACACCCAUUCAGAGCCUGCCCCACAUGUGGCCCAUACAUAUACAGCCAUCCAAUUAGACAAGAUGGAUGAAGCAAAGAAGUGCAGGCUGACAGGAGCCGGAUGUAGAUCUCUCCUGAGAGACACAGCCAGAAUACAGCAAAAACAGAGGCGAAUGCCAGCAGCAAACCACUGAACUGAGAACAGGACCCCCGUUGAAGGAAUCAGAGAAAGAACUCGAAGAGCUUGAAGGGGCUCGAGACCCCUUAUGAACAACAAUGCCAAGCAACCAGAGCUUCCAGGGACUAAGCCACUACCUAAAGACUAUACAUGGACUGACCCUGGACUCUGACCUCAUAGGUAGCAAUGAAUAUCCUAGUAAGAGCACCAGUGGAAGGGGAAGCCCUGGGUCCUGCUAAGACUGAACCCCCAGUGAACUAGAUUGUUGGGGGGAGGGCGGCAAGAGGGGGAGGAUGGGGAGGGGAACACCAAUAUAGAAGGAGACGGGGAGGGAAAGGGGUUAGGGGGAUGUUGGCCUGGAAACAGGGAAAGGGAAUAACAAUCAAAAUGUAAAUAAGAAACACCGAAGUUAAUAAAGAUGAAAAAAUAUUCAUAAUAACUUGUAUCUGUGUGCAGAGAAAAAUCUUAACAUCUACCACCAAGUUCUCCCAACUCCUUCUCUCCUGCUUCUUUCUCCAUUUCUAAAACCUCUAUUCCCAACUCCGUUCCUUCUUGUCCAAUGACAGGGCUCAUUUUAUCUUGUCUGCCUUCACCUGCAUAAUGACAUCAACCUACAGGUUUGUACCAGAGUAGGUCUCUUUUCUUGUAGCUUCUCAUAGACUUUUCCUUCUGUUGACUUGGCAUAUCUAAUUUUGAUGUGAUGGCUUUUGUUUCAUCUUAUUAUAAUUUAUUGUGUUGUGUUUCAUUGUCUCUUAGAAAUCUGUUUCCUUUUUUGUUGUUGUUGUUGGGGUGGACUUUUGCUUGUUUUGUUUUGUUUUUAAGGAGAGACAGUAAACAAGUGGAUCUGGAUGGAAGGGGCAGUGGUCAGAAACUGGAAGGAGUAGAAGGGGAAAUGUAAUCAGGAUAUAUUGUAUAUAACUUAUGAGAAAAGAAUAUAUUUUCAAUAAAAUAAAAAACAUCAAAAAAAGAAACCCUAAGACACACACACACACACACACACACACACACACACACGCACACACACACACGCACAGGCACACACACACACACACACACACACACACACGCUCAGGCACACACACAUGCAAAUUGGAGACUGAACUCAGUGUGCCAUGAAAGGAAUUAUAACAAGCUGCUUACCAUGCAGAAGAAAUUAACAGAUGCCCAAUGUCCGUUUAUUCAUUCACCCAGUCUUUAUGUGGAGAAACAGGGAAUCUGAGCCAACUUACCUGAAUACAACAUUCAAGAAGAUGGGAAUAGUAUAGCAAGUUGUGAGCCCAGCACCAGACAAAGGGUUGAGAACUCUGAAGAUAAGAAAUUUGCGGUGCUUUCCAUCCCUCUCACACUCCCCGUUGCCUGACAGAGUAACGGAUAGGGAGCUGGGAAAUGCUUGGUGGAUCAUGGAAUGUGGUACAGCAACCUCAUGGAAACAAACCUCAAGCAGCACUCAACAUGAAAAUGGUAGAAGUGGGGAGGGAAUAUGAACCUAAGAGACUAUCAACAUGCACCCCCUCCCCGUAAUACACACACAGACACCCUGGCUAUAAUAGAGAAAACACAUACAAAUCACAGGAAGUUUGUGACUAAACUUGUUUUAGUAUCCUGAUAGACAGAAUUAAGGCAAACACCAUAAUUGGGCCUCCCCUCUCCCUUCAGAAAGAAACAUUAUCUGGGAACAUAAUGCCUUAUAUAUCAUUUUGAUUGCUUAUCUAUAUGUGUAUUGUAAUAUUCAAUAUCUUUUCAUUUUUAAUUUUCCGUAUACAUGUGUACUUUUAAAAUAUUUACACAUAUUUAUUUUUAAUGUUUAAUUGUUGUGUUAUAAUUCAUUGGGAAAGGCUUUUAUGUCUCUUCCUCUGUUUUCCAUAAGUAAUAUAUAGUAUUUUAAAAGUGCUUUUCAUAUCUCUAGUCCAUAUACUUUCUUCUUAUCAUAACUUUACCUUGGUUCUUUUUAACUUUUUCUCAUUUAAUUCUGUCUUCACAGCUUAGGAGCCCCCCCCCAAAACCUAGUUCUUCUGUCCCUGAAUAUUAUAGGGGACACAAUUGAGUGAACAAGUGCUUUCUCCUGAAGUUAACUCUGGGACAGCUAUUGAACUGGCAUCAUUGCUACUAUGUUGGCUUUCCUCUAAACAUAAAAUCCCCUCCACUAUACAUUAAGAAAACCCACUAGGAUGACUCAAGUGAAAUAAAACAAAGAAUAACAGUGGAGAAGUUAAAAAGUCGAAGGAUGCAUACAAAGCAAAAAGAAAAACAAAAUCCACAAGACACCAUUCCACUAUAAACUGACAACACAUUCAUACCAAAAAAUAUAAUGAGAUAUUUGCAAUGAGAUAAUGAGAUAGUUGCAAUGUCAGGAAAAUAUUUCAGAGUCCUACUUUUCAAAAGCAUUAAUGACCAUAUAGAGGACUCAAAUAGCAAAAUUAAUUCAAGGCAUAGACAAGAAUAUUACCAAAGUAGAUAAAAUAAUGUAUAGCUAUGAGGAAAAAUUUUAAACCAUGGUGGGAAAAAAAUCAACAAGUAAAUUGGAAAUGCUAAAAAUGGACCACACAGAAAUUCUGAAAAAAGAAUCAGUCAGCCAUCUAACAAGCACAGAACAAGUCAUCAAUGGGAAGACCAAACAGGAGAAUGGAUUUCAAAACAGAUGACAAUGUUGUGACAAUAAUUAUACAGACAUAAACAUUAAAAAAAUUACUUCCAAGGAAUCUGGGAUACAUUCAAGAAACCAACCUGGGAAUAUGUGGAGUAGAAAAAGGAGCUGAGACAAAGCCAAAAGGCUUAGUGUAUCUGAUAAAAUUAUAAACUUAAACUUCUAAACUUAAAGAAAUAGACUUACACACACAUACACACGCACACACACACACACACACACACACAGAGAGAGAGAGAGAGAGAGAGAGAGAGAGAGAGAGAGAGAGACUUAGAACCCCAAAUAGAGAUCGCCAGAUAGCCAGACAAGAACCUCUUUAAUGCAUAGUCUAGUCAAGUUGACAAAAUGCAAAGCAAAGGGAAACUGUUAGAAGGAGAAAAACCUAAUAUGUAGAGGCAAAAUAACUCUGUAAUAAUAUAUCUUUCAUUAGCACCAAAAAAAAAAAAAAAAAGUCAGAAUACAGCCGGUAGUGGUGGCACAAUGUCUUUAAUCCCAGCAGUCAAGAAGCAGAGACAGGCAGAUCUCUGUGAGUUUGAGGGCAGCCUGGUCUACAGAAUAAGUUCCAGGACAGCCAGGGCUACACAGUGAAAUCUAUCUCUAAAAAAUCCAGAGACCUAAAAGAAAAUAAUUGUUAAUCAUGAUGAGAAAAGAGAUGUACACAAGUACACAAGCAAGUCAGUACAGAAAAGUAUUCUCUGUCUCUUUCUGUCUCUGUCUCUGUCUCUGUCUCCCUCCUUCCUUCCCUCCCUCCCUCCCUCCCUCCCUCUCUGUUCCAGGUCUCUUUAUGUAGUCCUGUAGUCCUGGCUGUCCUGGAACUCACUAUGGCUUCACUGUCACAGAUAUCCACUUGCCUCUACCACCUCAGUGCUGAUACUAAAGGAAAACUAUUCACAAAAGAAGAAAGAUGAUUCCAGGAGCCUUCUAGGCUUCCUGAGCCAUAUUGGGACUGCUGAGUCAUCAUGCCCUGUGAACGAAGUAACUACAGGUUAAUGUCCAAUAGUGAGAGACAGCUAUUGUGGGACUACAGCUGUUGAGGCAUUCAUCCUCAAAGAUCAAGUACCUACUGAGUUAUUGGGGUCUUCAUUUUUCUGGAUGUGAUUUAGCUAUUGUUUUUAUUUUAAGGCUGAAUAUAUCACAAACACACACACACACACACACACACACACACACACACACACACACACAAUAUGCUCAUCCCCUUGGUUCUGUUUCUCUUAAGAAUCCUGACUAAAAAGCAGAAUUAGUCAAACACAGAAUGUGAUCCCUUAAAAGACUGAUGUGUGCUGAAGAUCUUGGAGAUGUCAGCAUUAUUGAAUAUCUGCCAAGAAUGGCCAGCUAUAGGGAGUGGACAUAGCCCAAGAUAGAGGCUGUGUGUAUUUCAGGCAGGAAAACUGGAUAUAUAAUUACCUAAACCCUGUGGGGCUGAAUUAAUUCUAUCAUGUGCACCAGAUGCUAGACAUGGAGCUGCAGGAUUUGGUGUUUGCCCUGCUUUGGGUGUUUCAGUGCUGCUCUUCUUUAGUUUUAAUUCACUAUGUUCCCAUUCGUUUACUUUUGCAGUGGAAAUGGCCGUUCUGUUCCAGGUAAAGUUUGGAAGUAUAAAUUCACUGCUGAAUUCUAUCAAGCUUUUAAGGAAGAUAUACUACCAAAGAUUUUCAAAGUGCCCCACAAAAUAUAAAGGGAAGGAACAUGACCAAAUUCAUUUUAUGAAGCCAGAGUUAGCCUGAUACAAAAUUGGAUAAAUAAACUAUUUUUAAAAUGUUGCUUUUAGACAGGGUCUCUCUAUGUAGCCUUGGCUGUCCUGUAACUUGCUAUGUAGACCAUGCUGGCCUCAGGAUCACAGAGAUCUGCCUGCCCCUGUCUCCCGAGUUCUGGGAUAAAGGCAUGUGCUGCCACUCCCAGCUAAAAACACAAUUUAAAAAGAACUCUGUAGAGAAAUUUCCAUGAGCAUAGGUGGAAAUGUUCUUAGCAAAAUUUUUCAAAAAAAAAAAUCUAAGAACUCAGUAAGAUCAUACUUCACAAGCUAAUUGAUUUCAUCCCAUAGAUACAAGGUUGUCUCAACAUACAGAAACCACUAAGUAUAAUAUUAUGCUAUGCCAAUUGGCUUAGGGGCAGAGAUCACAUAACCUUCUCAAGGGAUACAAAUAAGAAAUUUAUUAAAGUAAAUUUGUUUUCUUAAUAAAUAUCUUGUCUAAAUAAUGACUAGAAAGAACAUGCCUCAACAUAAUAGAGGAUAUAUAUACAACAAACUUCUACCCAGCAUGUAUGAGAAAAACCAGAGCAUUUCCUCUCUAUGUUCUAAUUCAUUAGAAUGCUCCUUCUUAACUAGAAUGAUAAACCGAGGGAAGAUAUAAAAGGAAUACUACAGGAAAGGAAGGAGUUAAAUCCCCUAUUUGAAGAUGAGUUGUACAAUUUCACACUGAAAAUACAAACUUCACAAAAUCUUUCAAUGGCAUAAUCACUUUCAGUAAAGUUGUUAAGUUACAAAACCAGUAGAAGAAAUUCAGUAUCCAUUCUAUUUACCAAUAACAAUCUUACUACGAGUUUUGGGAAAAUAUAGCAUUUGCAAUAGCUUCAAAAAACCCUAGGAGUAAGCCCAACCAGUGAGGUAAAGGACUUCUAUGAUAUAAACACUUAUAAACCCUAAAGAAAGAAAUAGAGGAAUAUAUGAUGGAAAGAUCUUUCAAAUUCCUAGAUUAGCACAAUUAAUAUUCUGGAAAUGGCUCUACUAAGAAAAGUAAUCUACAGAUUCAAUUAAAUUCAAUCUCCAUCAAAAUUUUAAAGUCACUGUUCACAGAGCUAAAACAAUUUCAUAAAAUUGAGAUCUAAACAUAGAAGACUACAAAUAACAAUUAAAUCAUAAUCAGAAAGAACAUUGCAAGAAAUAUCAGAAUAACUGAUCUUGAACUACACUGUAAUAUUAAGAUGCAAUAGUGGCAGAAAAAAAUGACCUAUAGAGUACUAGAACAUAAUAGAAAAAAACAUAAAUUCGUAAGACUAUGGCCAUCUAAUUUUUUUGACAAAUAUGUCAAAAGCAUGACUUGACACAAAGACACAGCCUUAUGCAGCUAGAACCUUUCCUUUCUCACUUCCCUCAAGAAAGUAUAUUAUAUAUAUUAUAUAUAUACAUAUAUAAUAUAUAUAUAUCCUAAAUAACUUCGAAAGUGUCACAGUCUUUAAAAUUUCAGUAUCCUUAAAACAUUUACCAUUUCUUUAACAUUCAAAACCUCUUCAAAAUAUCCAAAGUCUGUCUAAAAUUUUAAAGUCUAUUAACUGUGGGCUCCUGUAAAAGCAGAGAACGAAGUUAAAUACUUAUUCCAAGAGGGAAGAACAAGAGUACUGUUACAGUUUGAACACAGCAAACUGAAAUUUUAAUGGUACAAAUAACCCAGAGUCCAAUGUUUCUGAUUCACUCACAAUCUUCUGGGUGUCACCAAAGGGCUUGGCAAAUCCAUUUCCAGCUCCAGGAUUAAUAGCAAACAUCCUUGGGGGUUGUGCCCAUUCUACUGGAAUUUAUAAAAUGCUGGAGUCCUUUUCAUGACUGAGCUGUGGCCUCCUGUAGGCUCUCUUCAAGGACUCCAGCUGUGCCAUACAAUGACAAGUGUUAGCUGCCCUCUAUGAUUACUAUACAACUUGAAAACCAGUACCAACCAAGCACUUACACUACCAGGUUUCAUGUCAGCAUGAAGCACAGCGUCUGCAUCUGAAACACAGCUUCCCUGUACUGACCCUGAGGAAUUACUCUCAAAUUUACAACCCUCAAUGAUUGUAACUUAAUUUCUCAGCUCAAGUUAAUCAGCACCAAUUGUCCAGUAGGAGCUCUGGUGUUGAUCUCUUGCUAAUCACAGUCAGCUCUUCAGCUCUGGCUCUCUGACACCAGAUACUUAAUUCAAAAACAUCACACAAAUUGUCUUUAAGUUACUCUUUAAACGUCCCUCUGAAACUUCACAAGCCAGGCCUCUAUCUACUGUCUGCAAUGCUUUCAACAGAACAGUCCAAUGAGCUCUGAGCAUUCAAUGGCUUUUUCAGUCCGAAGUUCAAAUACCACCACUUUCCUCUCUGAAGUAACAUGGUCAGGUCUGUCAUGACAAAAUCCCACAAAACUGGUAGCAAUUUCUGUUUUAGGGUUUCUAUUGCUGUGAUAAAACACCAUGACCAAGAAAAACUUGAGAAGGAGAGGAUUUAUUCCAUAUUAAAGCUUGUAGUAUAGUCAUCCAAGGGCAUUCAGGGAAGAAACUCAGGGCAGAAACCUAGAGGCAAGAACUGGAGCAGAGACUACCAUAGAGGAGUACUGCUUACUGGCUUGCCUCCCAUGGCUUGCUUGGGCUGCUUUCUUAAAAUACCCAGGACCACCAGCCUAUGUGUGGCUCCACCCUCAUUGAACUUGGCUCUCCCACAUCAAUUAUCAAUUAAGAAAAUAUCCUACAGUCUUGCCCAAGUCAAUCUAAUGGGGACAUUUUCUCAAUUGAGGUUCCUCUUUUUUCCCCAUAUGACUAUCUUGUGGUAACAUGAAACUAACCAGCACAAUCCAUAUCUCUCAAUUUAAAUAAAACUAAAUUCUAAAGAGAUAAAGGACUUCAGUUUAAAACUAGGAGUGUAGAAAUUACUAAAGAGAAACAUGCAAUGUACUUCAACAUAGAUAUAUAGGCAAGGUUUUAGACAGAACCCUAAUAACACAGAGACUAGCCUGAGAAUAAACAGAUAUGAUUACAUGAAAUUCAAAAGCUUCCUGAAUACAGUCAAGGAAAAUAUCAUCACAGUGAACAGAUUGCCUGUAGAAUGAGAGGAAACAUUUGCCAGCUAUACUUCAAGCAUGGGGUUAGUACCUAGAUUCUAGAACACCAAAAAUUGGACACCAAAUAAAUAAUACUGCCAGUCAAUGAAUGGAACAUUUUUUUGAAGGAAAAAAAAAAGAGCAAAUGGCCAAAAAAUUCAAAAUGCCAAUUCAGGAAUUACAAAUGAAAAUGGCUUUUGAAAUUCCAUGUCACCACAGUCAGAAUAGCAAUCACAAAGAAAAUGAAAACAAAUGCUGGUAAGGAUGAGGAGGAAGAGGAAACCCCAUUCACUGCUGGUUGGAGUGUAAACUGGUGCAGAAGUAUGGAAAUCAGUGUAGCAGAUUCUUAAAAGGCUAAAACUGGAACUAUAUAUGACCCAGGUAUAUCACCUAAAGAUAUGCCACACUAUAUAUACAUGCAUAUAUGUAUACAUUAUAUAUAGAUAUACCUGUAGCUCAAGAUCAUCUUCUAGUUAGUGUUAUGAUGUCUACCAACCUAUGAAUAGAUAAAGAAAAUAUGGUACAUAUAUUUAAUAGAAUUUUCUUCAGCCAUAAAGAAGAAUUAAAAUAGUUGUGCCUGGAACAAUUGUGAGACAAAACUGGUUCAGAAAGAAAAAUACCACAUGUUCUCUGUGUGCAGUCUAGCUUCUAGUGUUUGCAUAUGUGCAUCCUUGUGAGAAUACAUAUUGGCACAGGCCAUGAAACUUGAAAAGGAAAA